CCACGGUGCCUCGACCGCGACCCC
rnacentral:rRNA from 1 species